rnacentral:rRNA from 1 species
GUGAAUGAUGAAGGUCUUCGGAUUGUAAAAUUCUGUGGUAAGAGAAGAAAGAUAUAAAGAGGAAAUGCUUUGUAUUUGACGGUAUCUUGCUAGAAAGCCACGGCUAACUACGUGCCAGCAGCCGCGGUAAUACGUAGGUGGCAAGCGUUAUCCGGAAUUACUGGGCGUAAAGAGUGAGCAGGCGGUUAGAUAAGUCUAUGGUUAAAUGCAACAGCUCAACUGUUGUUCGCUAUAGAAACUAUUUAACUAGAGUGCGGGAGAGGUAAGUGGAACUCCAUAUGUAGCGGUGGAAUGCUUAGAUAUAUGGAAGAACACCAGAGGCGAAGGCGGCUUACCAGUCCGUAACUGACGCUCAGUCACGAAAGCGUGGGGAGCAAAUAGGAUUAGAUACCCUAGUAGUCCACGCCGUAAACGAUGAGAACCUGAUGCAGGAGAUAUUCUGUGUCGAAGCUAACGCGUUAAGUUCUCCGCCUGGGUACUACGUUCGCAAGAAUAAAACUUAAAGGAAUUGACGGGCGCCCGCACAAGCAGUGGAGCAUGGGGUUUAAUUCGUCGAUACACGAAAAACCUUACCAGGGCUUGACAUCCCGCUAAAAGCCUUAGAAAUAAGGAAAUAGUUAUAGCGGUGACAGGUGGUGCAUGGUUGUCGUCAGCUCGUGCCGUGAGGUGUUAGGUUAAGUCCUCAAACGAGCGCAACCCUUGUCUUUAGUUGCCAUUAUUAAUUUAGGAACUCUAGAGAGACUGCCGGCGCAAGCCGGAGGAAGGCGGGGAUGACGUCAAAUCAUCAUGCCCUUUAUGCCCUGGGCCACACCCGUGCUACAAUGGUCGGUACAAAGAGAAGCAACACUGUGAGGUGAAGCAAAUCCCAUAAAGCCGAUCUCAAUUCGGAUUGAAGUCUGCAACUCGACUUCAUGAAGCUGGAAUUGCUAGUAAUCGCAGAUCAGAAUGCUGCGGUGAAUACGUUCUCGGGCGUUGUACACACUG